AAAUUAGUGACCAACUAAACAGAAAUCAUAAUAGAAUUAGGACUUGGCCUUAAAUCUCAAUAGGAUAUGGACUAUCAGUUGAAGGUAUAAAUAAAAAAUAACAGCUAUUAUAUAUUAUAGCAGUAUGUUAUAAUAACAAACAAAUUCACAUUUUAUUCAGCAUUUUAUUUUUUUCACAUUAUUAUUUUAAUAUUAAAUUGAAGGAUGGUCGAAAUUGUUGCAAUGACCGACAUAAUGCUAUCAAUGAGAUGGGACUCCGGGCAAAAAUGAUGAUAUUUAUCGCCGCUCGCCAGCCCUGGCCAAAACCUAACCCUGAACCGAAGAGCCCCAAUCGCAUUCUCUCUCUCCCUCUCUAUCUCUCUCGUCCACAACGAAGCACCGACAAAAGAGGCCGCCUCUCUGCAAGAAAGGGUUUCUCUUCUCAACUCUUUUCCCCUCGAAUUCUUGGCUAUCGGACUUUCCAAGACGCUACACUGAGAAGGUCACUUUAAGUGCGUUCUUGCUGUUUCUUGUUUGUUAGAAUUUGUUGUACUUGUUGCGAGUUAUCUGCUUCUGAAACCUGGAUUUCUUGUAAUGCAAAAACAAGAGAGUGUCUUUCUUCUAUGAUUGUGUUCUUUGAAUCUAAGAAAAAGAGAACAUAACCCUAAAGGAUUAUUGGGGUAAUAUAUUGAAAUUUGAUAUGAUCUUCUGAAGAGGGUCGGACGGGUGUCAAUAUUUUUUGUUUCUUUCUCAAAUUUUAGGGAUAAAUGCUAUAUGAAUUUCACAUGGAGGGUCCUCGCUCUGCUUUAAUUGUUAUAGCUAUCACAAGGUAAUGCCGCCGAGGGUAGAGAGCUUUGCUGCUAUGUGUGCUUUAAGGUCUUUGUUCAUGGUAGCUAUCGAUGGUGGAAUUGUAAUUGAACUGCAAGUAUGUUAUAAGAAAUAUUUGCUAUAAGAUGUUCCUAGUAUGUUUCCUUUCUUCA